rnacentral:tRNA from 1 species
GGGCCCGUGGUGUAAAUGGGAGCACGUCAACCUGUCCAGUUGGAAGGUGCGGGUUCGAGUCCCGCCGGGUCCA